AUUGAACGCUGGCGGCAUGCUUUACACAUGCAAGUCGAACGGUAACAGGCCGCAAGGUGCUGACGAGUGGCGAACGGGUGAGUAAUGCAUCGGAACGUGCCCAGUCGUGGGGGAUAACGCAGCGAAAGCUGCGCUAAUACCGCAUACGAUCUCUGGAUGAAAGCGGGGGACCGAAAGGCCUCGCGCGAUUGGAGCGGCCGAUGUCAGAUUAGGUAGUUGGUGGGGUAAAGGCCCACCAAGCCAACGAUCUGUAGCUGGUCUGAGAGGACGACCGGCCACACUGGGACUGAGACACGGCCCAGACUCCUACGGGAGGCAGCAGUGGGGAAUUUUGGACAAUGGGCGCAAGCCUGAUCCAGCAAUGCCGCGUGCAGGAAGAAGGCCUUCGGGUUGUAAACUGCUUUUGUACGGAACGAAACGGUUCGGGUUAAUACCCUGGGCUAAUGACGGUACCGUAAGAAUAAGCACCGGCUAACCACGUGCCAGCCGCCGCCGUAACAC
rnacentral:rRNA from 1 species